GUUACUUCGCCUCAACUACUCUGGCAAGGGUACUUAUCUUGGUCAGAUCCGAGCUUUGCGUGAUCUUUUCAUGAAGAUUUAAAAAGUUCAGACCACAGAUGAAGAAAUCACUAAAAAUUUGAGUAGGUUAUCUUCUGACAAGUUUUUUGAUUUCAGACUCUCAAAUGAUGAGUUGUGUAGAUUUUAAGACCAAAUUUGGGUCCCUGUCACUGUCAGAAGGGAUGUUCUCAAUGCUGUCAUGCCUCCAAACUGUCCAUCCACCCUGGG
rnacentral:lncRNA from 1 species